rnacentral:rRNA from 1 species
CACCUGGGCCCAAGAAAAACUCCGAUUCCGAGUACCAUAGGACCCAACGGUAAAAAAGGAUGGCGACCAAAGCAGCCCCACCGACCCUGGUGGUCUCGCACCAUUAGAAUCCCCUUCCCCAACCCAAAUCGGCCGCCGCCAAGCCCUCGGCCGGCGCCGGCGCCGUCGCCGUCGCCGCUGAGCCAACCACCGAAGCGCCUCGAACUCCUCGUCCUCCUCCCCGUGCCUACCGUCCUCCACCGGAUCGGCGCGGAUCGGAGGCUCCCGCGAAGCGAUUCCUCCCGUCAGGCAGUCGAGAUGUCGGAGUACAAGAACGUCGUUGGGGGGAAGCUCAAACUGAAGGGGAAACCGCUGGAUGUCAAGGAGGGCGGAGUCAAGAAGAAGAAUAAGAAGAAGCACCGCCGCGAGGAGUCGUCUCAAGGCGAGCACAGCGAGCUCCGCGAAGGUGGAAGCUCUGAAUUACCAGGCGACCCUGACAAUGAAUUCAGUGAAGCUGACAAGCUGGGAGAGGAAGGGAGUGCGCAAGCCGAUUAUGACCACCUCACUCCAGCCGAGAGGCGUUACAUUGAACAGAAGCAGAAGAUCGAUGUACACAAGCUGGCCAAGGUGGCUGACAAGUCGCACAGGGACCGCAUCCAGGACUUCAACCAGUACCUCGCAAAUCUUAGUGAGCACUAUGAUAUCCCAAAGGUCGGCCCUGGUUAA